CAAGAUAUUCCACUUUUAAGUUGGAUUGGAUUACUGUUCGAACGUCAAGUGCCGUGUCGUCACAAAUAUGAUGCGUAUCACACCGACAUUUAUUUGAACCAAUACUCUGUCUAUUAACGAGGUAUUUCGAGGAAAAUUUCACUGUAACAUGAAAUCUAAUGGACCUUGUAAAAUAAAUUUAUAUCCAUAAUACGAGUAUUUGUGAUAAAUUACACAAUUGGCACACUAAUAAGACUAAUAAAUU